UAGGGAAUCUUCCGCAAUGGACGAAAGUCUGACGGAGCAACGCCGCGUGAGCGAAGAAGGCCUUCGGGUCGUAAAGCUCUGUUGUAAGGGAAGAACAAGCGCCGGUUAACUGCCGGCGCCCUGACGGUACCUUACCAGAAAGCCACGGCUAACUACGUGCCAGCAGCCGCGGUAAUACGUAGGUGGCAAGCGUUGUCCGGAAUUAUUGGGCGUAAAGCGCGCGCAGGCGGUUUCUUAAGUCUGAUGUGAAAGCCCACGGCUCAACCGUGGAGGGUCAUUGGAAACUGGGAGACUUGAGUGCAGAAGAGGAAAGCGGAAUUCCACGUGUAGCGGUGAAAUGCGUAGAGAUGUGGAGGAACACCAGUGGCGAAGGCGGCUUUCUGGUCUGUAACUGACGCUGAGGCGCGAAAGCGUGGGGAGCAAACAGG
rnacentral:rRNA from 1 species